rnacentral:misc_RNA from 1 species
GAUGAAGAACGUAGCGAAAUGCGAUACUUGGUGUGAAUUGCAGAAUCCCGUGAACCAUCGAGUCUUUGAACGCAAGUUGCGCCCGAAGCCGUCAGGCCGAGGGCACGCCUGCCUGGGCGUCACACGCCGUUGCCCCCCCGCGCCCCGCACCCAACUCUUUGGGAGCGACCGCGGGGCGGGCUGAUGAUGGCCUCCCGUGCGCUCCGCCGCGCGGUUGGCCCAAAUACCGAGUCCCCGGCGACGUGCGCCACGACGAUCGGUGGUUGAGAGACCUCUGUCGCAAGUCGUGCGCGCCCGUCGCGUCACGCGGGCUCGCAUAGCGCCUCGCGCCGCACCCGGUGCGGAGCUUUCAACGCGACCCCAGGUCAGGCGGGGUUACCCGCUGAAUUUAAGCAUAUCAAUAAGCAGAGGA